UUUUUCUUUUCUUCUUCUAAUGACGUCAUCGCAAAAAGAGUAUAAAAAGCGUCAAGAACGCGACGCUCAUUCUUGCACUCACCACUGACAGCGAGAGCCACGUUGCUCUGGUCCACCUGCUGCGGCGGCCGUACAACAGCGUUUAAAAGUGACAAGGUGGGUGUUCAACUUUUGUUAACCUUUUGAAACUAACUGCUUUUGCUCGCUUUCAGCGUCUAGUUGCACUUUGGGCGUGCUUCCAUCUUGCAAGCUCAAAAGUUUGCAGAAGCUAGCGUUAGCAGUUAACAUCUCCAACGACCACCAAAACGCAUUUAUCUGGCGUGCAACCAAACAAUUGAAGCAUUUAACGGCGGCAACGUCUGGACGACAGCGUCGUUUGGCCGAAGGUGCAAACCCUCAAAACGAGCCCGUCAUGGCCGACUGACUUUGUGAGUUUUAAAGUCAACUCUUUCAAUCGACUGCUUCUAAUGGUCUUCUCA